CAGGAGAGACACACUUUCUCUUUCAUGCUUCCGGUCCGGUCUUGGAAAGCGGCCGACUCACCCGGGUUGCCAGUUUCUCUUGAGAAGUCCUGCAAGCUGGCAACCAUAAGAGAAAACUUUAAAUCCUUGAGUCAUCUGCACUGAGUGAAGAGAAGUCCUUGCAAUCUAUUAGAUGCUCAAUAGACACUUGUUUAGUAAUCAGGCAAAGUGAAGGAUGGAUCAUCCACAUCUAAAGCUGUAGUUUAUACUUCUUUAAGAUUCCCCAACUGUCCUAUGUCCUUGUGGGCCUGCAUUCAAUAAAUCUCACUGACACUA